CCACCCAAAGCUGAAUUUGUUAUCUCUCCAUCCAAACUAGUUCCUGUUCCAGUGUUGCUGUCAGAUUGAUGACAUUAACCUGGGCCACACCCACACCAGAACCCACAUGAGAAACCUGCUGCUAUGGUUCGAAAGUUUAUCCUCUUCCAAACUCGUGUUGAAAUGUAAUCGCCAUUGUAACAGUACUAAAGGGAAUGGUGGAAGUCACCAUCAGAGCUGUGAAAGAAGAGCAGCAAAAGUCAAAACGGAACAGCAGUUUCUCGAUUUCCCUGGGGCUUUCUGGUGAGGCUUCAGUUCGCUUCUCAGAACCAGAGGGGAGGACAGCAUCGCCACACGAGCACAGCAGGGGCUGAGAGUAAGCCAGCGCUGUCACUGUCAGAAGACCCCGGGCUUGAUGGCCUCCGGAGCAACGCCCUCAGCAGGGCGACUCGGUGUGCACGUUCUGAAUGUUCUAGAAGUUUCAUAGUGGAGGCCUGUGCCUUCCUCACAAAAUAUCCUUCCAUAUAUCCGAGGAAAGUAAGAAGGCCCAGCAUUUGUCCCCUUCAAGGUAUCAAGAGAAAGGAGUUCUAACGUCUCCUGGCCUUGAACCCUACUGCCAGACCCCCAGGUUAGGCACGCCAGGGUCCGAGCACCGUUCCUGCUGGACUCUGCCAUGACUUGCAAAUGAAAGCCACGUGACUCCCCCAGCACCCCACCAUACCCCCUAUCAUGUGAGAUAAACCUCCAUCGUUUUGGGGAUCAGGAAAAGGAACAUGACACAGAUGCACUCCUUCUUCAUGUGCCUUUGUAAAGGUGCAGAAAACGCUCAGAAGGUAAAAGCUCCUCACAUCCCGUUGGUUCGAGCCACAUUCCUGGGCUGUUUCUAAGCAGAUCACUGGCUUGGGGUGGGGCUCCCAUGGUGGCUCAGACUAGUCACAAUUCCCUUCCUGGGACCGGGGCUGGGCCAGGACUCCCUGAAGCACAGGCCUCCCAAUGCCAGAACCAAAGUGGGGUUCUCUUCUCAAGCAAGGAAGGGGGAGGAUCGGCAACCAAUUGUGUCUUCCACAAAGAAUAGUUAUAUUUAAAGAAAAGACUCAGUGAAAGGACCAUGCAAU